rnacentral:rRNA from 1 species
AGUGGGGAAUCUUGCGCAAUGGGCGAAAGCCUGACGCAGCCAUGCCGCGUGAAUGAUGAAGGUCUUAGGAUUGUAAAAUUCUUUCACCGGGGACGAUAAUGACGGUACCCGGAGAAGAAGCCCCGGCUAACUUCGUGCCAGCAGCCGCGGUAAUACGAAGGGGGCUAGCGUUGCUCGGAAUUACUGGGCGUAAAGGGAGCGUAGGCGGACAUUUAAGUCAGGGGUGAAAUCCCGGGGCUCAACCUCGGAAUUGCCUUUGAUACUGGGUGUCUUGAGUAUGAGAGAGGUAUGUGGAACUCCGAGUGUAGAGGUGAAAUUCGUAGAUAUUCGGAAGAACACCAGUGGCGAAGGCGACAUACUGGCUCAUUACUGACGCUGAGGCUCGAAAGCGUGGGGAGCAAACAGGAUUA